rnacentral:rRNA from 1 species
CUGGUUGAUCCUGCCAGUAGUCAUAUGCUUGUCUCAAAGAUUAAGCCAUGCAUGUCUAAGUGUAAAUACGUCUACACUGUGAAACUGCGAAUGGCUCAUUAAAUCAGUUAUCGUUUAUUUGAUGAUCUCUUGUUACAUGGAUAACCGUAGUAAUUCUAGAGCUAAUACAUGCGUCAAGCCCCGACUCACGAAGGGGUGUAUUUAUUAGAUUCAAAGCCAACCGUGUAAAAGCGUACCUUGGUGAUUCAUAAUAACUUGUCGAACCGCACGCCCUUGAGGCAGCGGUGAUUCAUUCAAAUUU